rnacentral:rRNA from 1 species
GACAGAGGAUGCAAGCGUUAUCCGGAAUGAUUGGGCGUAAAGCGUCUGUAGGUGGCUUUUUAAGUCCGCCGUCAAAUCCCAGGGCUCAACCCCGGACUUGCAGUGGGUACGGGCAGACUAGAGUGUGGUAGGGGAGACUGGAAUUCCUGGUGUAGCGGUGGAAUGCGCAGAUAUCAGGAGGAACACCGAUGGCGAAGGCAGGUCUCUGGGCCAUUACUGACACUGAGAAGCGAAAGCAUGGGGAGCGAACAGGA